UAGAGUUUACAAAACUCCCAAACCCCUGUGAACAUACCUACGUUGCCUCGGCAGGUCCGCGUCGACUACCCCGCAUAUCGCCUACCCUGUAGGUGAUCCGGUGCGGUAGGCGCGGGUGAAGCCUGCCAGUGGACCGUUAAACUCUGUUUAUUCUUGAAAUCUGAACCUAUAACUAAAUAAGUUA
rnacentral:misc_RNA from 1 species